rnacentral:rRNA from 1 species
UACAGAGGGGUGCGAGCGUUAAUCGGAAUUACUGGGCGUAAAGCGUGCGUAGACGGUUAUUUAAGUCGGGUGUGAAAGCCCCGGGCUCAACCUGGGAAUUGCAUUCGAGACUGAAUAGCUAGGGUACGGUAGAGGGAAGCGGAAUUUCCGGUGUAGCGGUGGAAUGCGUAGAUAUCGUAAGGAAGACCAGUGGCGAAGGCGGGUCUCUGGACAGUUCCUGACGCUGAGGCACGAAGGUCAGGGGAGCAAACGGG